UAAGGAAUAUUGGACAAUGGUCGCAAGACUGAUCCAGCCAUGCCGCGUGCAGGAAGACGGCCCUAUGGGUUGUAAACUGCUUUUGUACCAGAGAAAACCUAUCUACGUGUAGAUAGCUGAUAGUAUGGUAAGAAUAAGCAUCGGCUAACUUCGUGCCAGCAGCCGCGGUAAGACGAAGGAUGCAAGCGUUAUCCGGAUUCAUUAGGUUUAAAGGGUGCGUAGGCGGGCUUGUAAGUCAGUGGUGAAAUCUCUCAGCUUAACUGAGAAACUGCCAUUGAUACUGCAGGCCUAGAGUAUAGAUGACGUUGGCGGAAUAUGACAUGUAGUGGUGAAAUACUUAGAUAUGUCAUAGAACACCGAUUGCGAAGGCAGCUAACGAAACUAUAACUGACGCUGAGGCACGAAAGUGCGGGGAUCAAACA
rnacentral:rRNA from 1 species